rnacentral:misc_RNA from 1 species
GUUCCGUAGGUGAACCUGCGGAAGGAUCAUUAUUGUAUAACCGAGGUGCGUGGGCUGUCGCUGACCCGAAAGGUCGUGCACGCCCGAGGGCCCUCACACACAUCCAUCUCACCCCUAUGUGCACCACCGCGUGGGUCCCCCUUUGGCUUGUUCGGAGGGGGGCUUACGUUUUCACACAAACUUUGUAUGCAGUGUAGAAUGUAUUUUUUGUUUUUGCGAUCACGCAAUCAAUACAACUUUCAACAACGGAUCUCUUGGCUCUC